AUACGUAGGGUGCGAGCGUUGUCCGGAAUUACUGGGCGUAAAGAGCUCGUAGGUGGUUUGUCGCGUCGUCUGUGAAGUUCCGGGGCUUAACUCCGGGCGUGCAGGCGAUACGGGCAUAACUUGAGUACUGUAGGGGAGACUGGAAUUCCUGGUGUAGCGGUGAAAUGCGCAGAUAUCAGGAGGAACACCGGUGGCGAAGGCGGGUCUCUGGGCAGUAACGGACGCUGAGGAGCGAAAGCAUGGGUAGCGAACAGGAUUAGAUACCCUGGUAGUCCAUGCCGUAAACGGUGGGCGCUAGGUGUAGGGGUCUUCCACGACUUCUGUGCCGUAGCUAACGCAUUAAGCGCCCCGCCUGGGGAGUACGGCCGCAAGGCUAAAACUCAAAUGAAUUGACGGGG
rnacentral:rRNA from 1 species